rnacentral:rRNA from 1 species
UUUAAUAGUCUGGCCUGCCCACUGAUAUUAUAAAGGGCCGCGGUAUUUGGACCGUGCUAAGGUAGCAUAAUCAAUAGUCUUUUAAUUGAAGUCUGGAAUGAAUGGUUGGAUGAAAUAUAGGUUGUCUUAGGCUAUAUGGGUUGAAUUUUACUUUUAAGUGAAAAGGCUUAAAUGAAUUAGGGGGACGAUAAGACCCUGUGAAGCUUUAAUACUAUUAAGUUGUUCUUAGAUAAUAUCUUUGUGAUUAUUUUUAUAUUUUAAUAGUAUUUGGUUGGGGCGAUUGGAAUAUAUAUGUAACUGUUCUUUUACAAAAAUAGUAAUUUUUAGGGCGUUGAUCUUUAAUUUAGGAUUAAAAGAUUAAAGUUACUCCAGGGAUAACAGCGUAAUUCUUUUUGAGAGUUCUUAUCGACAAAAGUAUUUGCGACCUCGAUGUUGAAUUAAAAGUUUCUCCAAGGCGUAGGAGUUUUGGUUGUAGGUCUGUUC